CGAGGUGUAGCGCAGUUUGGUAGCGCACAUGGUUUGGGACCAUGGGGCCGGGGGUUCGAGUCCCUUCACCUCGA
rfam:Clostridium difficile 630 complete genome